rnacentral:rRNA from 1 species
CCUACGGGAGGCAGCAGUGAGGAAUAUUGGUCAAUGGACGAGAGUCUGAACUAGCCAAGUAGCGUGAAGGAUGACUGCCCUAUGGGUUGUAAACUUCUUUUAUAUGGGAAUAAAACGUUCCACGUGUGGGAUUUUGUAUGUACCAUAUGAAUAAGGAUCGGCUAACUCCGUGCCAGCAGCCGCGGUAAUACGGAGGAUCCGAGCGUUAUCCGGAUUUAUUGGGUUUAAAGGGAGCGUAGGUGGAUUGUUAAGUCAGUUGUGAAAGUUUGCGGCUCAACCGUAAAAUUGCAGUUGAAACUGGCAGUCUUGAGUACAGUAGAGGUGGGCGGAAUUCGUGGUGUAGCGGUGAAAUGCUUAGAUAUCACGAAGAACUCCGAUUGCGAAGGCAGUUCACUGGACUGCAACUGACACUGAGGCUCGAAAGUGUGGGUAUCAAACAGGAUUAGAUACCCUAGUAGUC